UACGUAGGGGGCAAGCGUUGUCCGGAAUCAUUGGGCGGUAAAGCGCGCGUAGGCGGCCCGGUAAGUCCGCUGUAAAAGUCCAGGGCUCAACCCUGGAAAGCCGGUGGAUACUGUCGGGCUAGAGUCCGGAAGAGGGCGAGUGGAAUUCCUGGUGUAGCGGUGGAAUGCGGCAGAUAUCAGGAGGAACACCGAUGGCGAAGGCAGCUCGCUGGGACGGUACUGACGCUGAGACGCGAAAGCGUGGGGAGCGAACAGG
rnacentral:rRNA from 1 species